GCCUGGGUGGCUCAGUUGGUUAAGCAUCUGACUUCAGCUCAGGUCAGGAUCUCAUAGUUCAUGGGUUCAAGCCCCGCCUCGGGCU
rnacentral:tRNA from 1 species